rnacentral:rRNA from 1 species
GACGAACGCUGGCGGCGUGCUUAACACAUGCAAGUCGAACGGAAAGGCCCUGCUUGCAGGGUACUCGAGUGGCGAACGGGUGAGUAACACGUGGGUGAUCUGCCCUGCACUUCGGGUUAAGCCUGGGAAACUGGGUCUAAUACCGGAUAGGAGCCAUUUUUAGUGUGAUGGUUGGAAAGUUUUUUCGGUGUAGGAUGAGCUCGCGGCCUAUCAGCUUGUUGGUGGGGUAAUGGCCUACCAAGGCGGCGACGGGUAGCCGGCCUGGGAGGGUGGACGGCCACAUUGGGACUGAGAUACGGCCCAGACUCCUACGGGAGGCAGCAGUGGGGAAUAUUGCACAAUGGGCGCAAGCCUGAUGCAGCGACGCCGCGGGGGGGAUGACGGCCUUCGGGUUGUAAACUCCUUUCGCUAGGGACGAAGCUUUUUGUGACGGUACCUAGAUAAGAAGCACCGGCUAACUACGUG